UAUCAUACCUUUUAUUUGUCCAGAUAUCUUGGUGAGUUGAAAAAGUCUGUCCGAAAUAAGGCAAAGCCCGAAGGAUCACUUGUGGAAGCAUGGGUCGCAUAUGAGUCACUUACUUUUUGUGUAAUGUAUCUUCAAGAUGUUGAGACAGCUUUCAAUCGCCCUCAACGCAAUAAUGACAGUGGUGUCAGAAAAGAAAAACUGUAUGUUUUUGCCCAAAUUGCGCGACCAUUCGGCGAUCCUGUAAAAGGCGAAUCCUUUACUAAAAAGGACAUGGAGGUAGCGCAUUGGUUCAUACUCAACAAUUGUGAUGAGGCUUUGCCAUACCUUGAACAACAUGAACAGUUGAUGAAGCGGGAACAUCCUUCACAUUUAUAUGCCAAGAAGCACUGUGAAUUGUUUCCUUCGUGGUUUCACAAACAUGUAAGUUGUAUGUGUUUUGAAUUGAGCAUUUUUUCCAAAUUGUUCAUGGCCGUCUUUAAAUUUGGUUGCACUAACAUGUUAACUUUUUGUAUAUGUUAUAUUAGAUGAACAAAUUGAAGGAAUUGAAUUCACCAUCUUACGAUGAAGAAUUAUAUAACUUGGCGAGAGGACCGCUUCACGUUGAAUGGUUCUCAGGUUGUCAUGUCAACGGGAUCAAGUUCUUGGGGGCAACACGUGAUGACAAGUUGUGUACUCAAAAUAGUGGUGUCCAUGUCCCGAGUGCUGGCGAUAGUGAAGACAUUGAUUUUUAUGGCAAACUAACUAGUGUAAUACAAUUGCUUUACAAAGACAGAUGUCAAGUGAUACUGUUUAAGUGUCUUUGGUUUGAUACAAACCCACAUAACUGAACGAGUGUUAAGCGAGACCAUGGUUUACUAUCAGUAAACACUACCAAAUGUUGGUACGAUGAAGACCCAUACAUUUUGGAAACUAUGGCGAAACAAAUAUUCUAUCUAGACGACCCUAAAGCCGGCAAUGGUUGGAAAGUUGUUCAGAAGAUUGAUCGAAGAGGGCUAUAUGAUAUUCCGGAACUAGAUCAUGAUGACAACGACAACAACGUCGCUGACCAACAGUUUUCAUCUUUGAUAGAAAUUGGUGAAGAAAUACUACGGGAUACUAAUGUUGUCCAAGAACCAUUUGAAGUAGUUGGAGUUCCCGAAUUCGAAAUAUCAAUUGACCUUGGUGAUCUGCUGCGAUACAAUGCACCGAAAGAGGCAAACGAAGAUAAGGACGAAUGGAAAUCCGAAAAUGAUAGUAGUGAGGAUAGCGAGAGUUAUUACUGUAGUUCGGAUGAGGAUUAAUAUAAACUUGUAAAGGAAACAACCAGGGGGCUGAGGAGAGGCAAAGUCAAACUAAAAAAGGCACGGGAAGAAUCUGAUCGUGAUCGUUUGAAGGUAUUUUCCAUUUUUUACCAAUCUGAACAACGAAGUACAAGUUAUUUAUACUCGUUAUAGGUUAUAUUUAUGCAGAUAUGAUAGUAUUUAUGCUCAUUCGAUUUUGAAGCUGCAUUUUGUUUUAGCAUGUAAUCAUUUGCUUUUAUUAUGAAUUGACUUGUUCAUUUUGGAUUCACUUCAUUUGGAUCAGGUGUAGAUGUGCACAUAGACUAAAUUAUUCAGAGUUCUAUGUGUUUACUUAUGUUUGUUCACUUCAUUUGGAUUAGGUCAUAUUUAUGCAGAUGUGCUAGUAUUUAUGCUCAUUCGGUUUUGAAGCUGCAUUUUGUUUUAGCAUGUAAUCAUUUGCUUUUAUUAUGAAUUGACAUGUUCAUUUUGGAUUCACUUCAUUUGGAUCAGGUGUAGAUGUCCACAUAGAUUAAGUUCUGCCGUGAUUGCUGUUGCAUUCUUUGUUGCAAGUCUGUAAACUCGUCCUGUGCAGGUUAUGAUUACAUUCGAUGCGAAGCAUUGAAGCAUGAUGGUAGCAUAUGUGGGCAUGCUGCCCAUAUUGAUUGUGCCUUGCAAUGUUACAUGGCUGGCACUGUAAGAGGAAGCAUUGGCUUGGAUUCUGAAUACUAUUGUCGGGGCUGUGAUGAAAAAACAGAUUUGGUUUCAUAUGUCACAAGGCUUUGCUUGCGAAUCUCUUGAUUCUCGGGAUGAUGUUGAGAAGAUUUUAAAUUUUGGUAUCUGCAUUUUGCAGGGUUCACAGAAAACCAGUGCAAGGGACCUGCUGAAACGUAUUGAAGUGGCCAUUGAAAAGCUCAAAUGUGGGACUAAUCUUGAAGAUAUUGGCUUGUGGUCGAUUAUGAAGGAUAAUAUUGGCUCCUUUUCACAUAAAACAUUUCUGUUUCUCCAUUGACGCUUUGCUUCCAAAGCUCACAGAGAAAAGAAAACCCACUAAGACCCACCUCUCACAUCUUGCUGGAACUAAAACUCUUCACUUGUGGUGUGUGACCAGAGAGGACCGAGCUACAUGGAUUGAGGCACUACUCGGUGCUAAAGAUCUUUUCCCUAGAGUGUUUACGAGCAAUGAUUUGGUACCUUCGGAAGAUAUAGUUGUUUCGACAGAGAAGCUAAGACUAAGAUUAGCACAUGAGGGAAUUGGUGAGCCGGUGAUCAAAGACUGCGAGUCAAUUAUGCUCUUAGAAGUGUCAGAGCUUCAAAAUCAAAUGAAGGGUCUUCAGCGUAAACAUGUGAUGUUGUUGGAGUCAUUGAGGCAAUUAGAGACAGAAAAAAUAGAGCUGGAAACUACAGUAGUGGAUGAAACAAAGGAGCGUGAGUCAUACAGACAGGGGAAUGGGAGAUUUAGUGAUGCUCUAAGCAGUGCUUCCUAUUGUAUAUUUGAAAGAGAUUCUUUCUUUUCUGAUCGAUUGCAUGGAGUUGAGGAGAUCAAGACAAUUAAAUAACCAUAUGUGAAAAAGAGGGAUGAUUUGCCAGAACCCAAGGAGAAAGAGAAGCAUAUUGGCUUGUGGUCGAUUAUGAAAAAUAAUAUUGGGAAGGACUUGUCUGGAGUUUGUCUUCCUGUUUAUUUUAAUGAACCACUCUCAUCGUUGCAAUAUUGAUGAAUACUUUUGAUGAAUACUUUUGGUUGGUCCUUCAAGAUUGAUGAAUACUUUUGGUGGGUAUCAAUCAAUAUAGUAUAUAUUGAUGAAUA